rnacentral:rRNA from 1 species
GACGAACGCUGGCGGCGUGCUUAACACAUGCAAGUCGAGCGGUAAGGGCCCUUUCGGGGGUACACGAGCGGCGAACGGGUGAGUAACACGUGGGUGACCCUGCCCUCAGGCUCUGGGAUAAGCCGUGGGAAACCCGGGUCUAAUACCGGAUAUGACUCCGAUGACGCAUGUUGUGGGGGUGGAAAGCCUUGUGCGGCUGAGGAUGGGCCCGCGGCCGUAUCAGCUUGGUUGGUGGGGUGAUGGCCUACCAAGGCGACGACGGGUAGCCGGCCUGAGAGGGCGACCGGCCACACUGGGACUGAG